rfam:Chlorocebus sabaeus isolate 1994-021 chromosome 9, whole genome shotgun sequence.
GUGCUCGCUUCAACAGCACAUAUACUAAAAUUGGAAUGACACAGAGAAGAUUAGCAUGACCCUGCACAAGAAUGAAAAGUAAGGUUUUAAAUUUUCGU